GGGCCCGCACAAGCGGUGGAGCAUGUGGUUUAAUUUGAUGAUACGCGAGGAACCUUACCAGGGCUUAAAUGUAGUCUGACAGGGGUGGAAACACCCCCCUCCUUCGGGCAGAUUACAAGGUGCUGCAUGGUUGUCGUCAGCUCGUGCCGUGAGGUGUCAGGUUAAGUCCUAUAACGAGCGCAACCCCUGCCGUUAGUUGCCAGCAUGUAAUGAUGGGAACUCUAACGGGACUGCCGGUGCAAACCGCGAGGAAGGUGGGGAUGACGUCAAAUCAUCACGGCCCUUACGUCCUGGGCUACACACGUGCUACAAUGGCCGGUACAGAGGGCAGCCACACCGCAAGGUGGAGCGAAUCCUUAAAACCGGUCUCAGUUCGGAUCGGGGUCUGCAACUCGAGUACAUGAAGGUGGAAUCGCUAGUAA
rnacentral:rRNA from 1 species